GCCGCGCUCGUUUCCCCGCGCGCGGAGCCGAGGCCCGGGCUGGCCGCUCCUAGUGGUGCCCGGGGAGGGGAGGGCGCGGGCCCCGGAGGUCGGCUCAGCUGUGGCGCCGCGUUUGCCGGGAGACGCUCGCCCGGCCCGCGCGCUGCCGCCGGACCCGUUACUACUUUUUUUUUUUUCUCCUGAGACGGAGUUUCGCUCUGGUUGUCCAGGCUGGAGUGCAAUGGCGCGAUCUCGACUCACCGCAACCUCCGCCUUCCGGGUUCAAGCGAUUCUCAUGCCUCAGCCUCCCGAGUAGCUGGAUUACAGGCAUGCGCCACCACGCCCGGCUAAUUUUCUAUUUUUAGUAGAGACGGGUCUUGGUCAGGCUGGUCUCGAACUCCCGACUUCUGGUGAUCCGCCCGCCUCGGCCUCCCAAAGUGCUGGGAUUACAGGCGUGAGCCACCGCCGCCGACCCGGGCCCUGUUUGAUUAUGUCUGCUGCUGCCUUGGCCGUUUUUUCCCCCACCGCUGGACUUUGGCUGGCCGAGCUUGCAGUGCUUAUCGCCCUAGAAACCUGUGAAAGGGCGACAUUGCUGCCAUUUCAGACCCUUCCACUGUUCGUAGUUCUAAGCACGUGUCAGUGUUAAAAAUCCUUUAUCAAGAUGAGCACUGUUCACUUGCCGCCUCUGCAAAGUGUGAGGAUAUUUGCGUGAGCCACUGCGCUGGGCCAGAAUUUUUCAUCAGAUGAUUUAGCCCAUAAUUUUCCCGCCUUUCCUAAAUCACCAUCCCAUUCCUCACAUAUAUUCUGAAUCACUCCAAUGUUGGAAAGUAUAUAUAAAGGGAAGCUAAAAGAUAAGGAGAAACAAGCAAUCAUGUGCCCAGAUAAAAGCAAAAUUGUCUUGUGAAUCAGUGAUAACACUGCAAAAAGUAAAUAGGUUAUGCAGCUGAGAUGUGACUGUAAAAUAACGUAACGAAUUAUAGCUGCCAUUACUUCCAGUCACGAAUACAUUCAUUCUCCAAGAUAAAAUGCAUCUGUCUAGGCCACCAAUUUACAAUUUUUUAAAACCAGCAAUUUAAACCUCAGAAAUUAACUACUUAUCCCUAAGUUGCUUAUCAAAUUACUGAACUUAUCAGUCCUGUAAUACUAAAUAUUAAAACAAGGCAUUUUUAAGAGGAAGAUCAACGAAAUUAGAGACUACCAUAAAGCAAAUCAAAGCAGUAUAUAACUCUGCAACAUGGUGUGAAAUGUCAUGUAAAUUGCUAGACGUUUAGAAUCAAGGAAUGGAUGGAUCAAGAUAUUCCAGGCCAGACUUAGUGGUUCACACCUGUAACCCCAGUACUUUCAGAAGUCGAGGUGGGAAGCUCCGAGACCAGCCUGGGCAACAUAGCAAGACCCUAUCUCUACAAGAAAUUUAAAAAAUAACUGAGUGUGGUGGCACAGAAGUACCUAUGGUCCCACCUGCCCCUGAGGCUGAGGUGAGGGGUCUGCUUGAGCUCAGGAUCCCAAGGUUACCGUGAGCUAUGAUCACAUCACUGUGCUCCAGCCUGAGCAACAGAGUGAGACCCUAUCUCUUUAAAAAAAAAAAAAAGUGAUUGGACAAAAUAUAAUUAUUGGCACCAAGUGAAUGUUAGGAAAAAAAAAAAACACGUACAAAGAACUUUAUAGAGCAGCCAUUCCCACUGGGAAGAGUGUGUAGGUUGGACUCUAACCAUUAAAGAGCUAGGUGGGAUGAUACUAAAUAUAUAUAACAGACAUUUAAUAUAAAUAUGAUAUGAAGGCUAAGGUGAAAAGGGAUGCCAGUGGAUCACAGUAUUUUCUUGAUUCAAUGAUGACAUUGUCCAUUUAAGCAAGGUAGUUUAGGCCACAGUAAUGGCAGAAAAAGGGGAUAAUUUGAAAAUAUUCCAGAAGGACUUCAUUGUAUGUGGGGUUCAUGAUGUCUCGCGACUCCUUUCCGUAUAUGACAAAUACAGCAAAGUUAGGAGGGGGAAGAAGUAUUUUGCUUUUGCUACCAAAAGAAAAACUGUCUGAAGAUGUCUAACCCAGGAAAGCAAGAAAAUAUACAGGCCUAUUUAACAGACCUCUAUGACUAUUUCAAUGGGAAAAAAAAUUUUUAAUGUGUGUAAUGAAUAGUAAACAUAUAAGCAAGUGUGUGUGUGAAUGCCAGUUACUCAAGGGGCCUAGAUGAAGCAGAAAGCCAGGCUAAACACAAAGGUGGAUAUGGAGGUUGAGGGUCACCAAGCUUUUUCAUUUCUGUAAAGAUUGUUCUGUGUGAACAACAAAGAUUUGGUAUUAAAGUUAAAAGAUGAAACGAAAAACAGUUAAGCCCCAAAGUUGUAACCCCAGGGCCUAGCGUGCCCGGCACAUAGCUGAUUCUCAGGGUUGUCCUGGGGGAACUGGAGAAGAUGGAGUGCAAAGUUAAGGCUGUCAGCCAGCAAACUUCCCUUUCCAUCCCUUCACUUCUCAGAACCUCCCUUUCAACCCCAAAAAUGGGAUUUACUUCCCACAUAUUAUACAGCACUCAUUUAUGGAGUGCUUACUCUGUGAAUGAUGAUUAUACCGAACAUGAGGUGGUGAUAAAAAUAAGGCAUGGGAAGAGGGGAGUAUUGGGUGCAAUUGCUGUAAUUUUAAAACAGCUUGGGGCUGGAUGUGGUGGUUCACGCCUGUAAUCCCAGCACUUUGGGGACCGAGAUGGGAGGAUUACUUGAGUUCACAAGUUCUAGAUCAGCCUGAGCAACAUAGCGAAACCUCAUCUCUUCCAAAAAUACCAAACUUAGCCGGUCAUGGUGCCUAUAGUCCCAGCUACUCUGGAGGCUGAGGUGGGAGGAUCGCUUGAGGCUGGGAGGCGGAGGUUGCAGUGAGAUGGGACCACAGCACUCCAGCCUGGGAAUAAAAUAAUUUUUUAAAAGCCACUUGGUUAAGGAAGCCCUCAUUUUGAAGGUGACAUAUGAAGAAAAACUUGAAGGAGCUGAGGGAGCAUUUACUGAGAGAAGACUGUUCUAGGCAGAGAGAAGGGCCAGUCAGUGCCUGGGCCUGAGGCAGAAGCGUGGCUGAUGUGCUCUGGCACAGGAAGGGGAAGAAAAGUGGGAAAUGAUGUUGAAGAAUGGAGGCGGCACAAGCAGAUUUUUCAGCUCCUUGUGGACCAUAGUUAGGUCUUUAUCUUUUAUAAAAUGAGAGGAUUUUGAGUGGAAAGGCGAUUUGAUCAUUUAAACAAGAUCAUUCUAGCUCCUGUGUUGAAAGGAUCCUGAAGCGGAGCCGGGGCCAAAUCAGAGAGGACAGUGAUGAGUCCGUUGUAAUAAGCCAGGCAAGAAAUGAUUGUGGCUCAGACCAAAGUGGUAGCAGUGAGCUGGUGGGAAGUGGAGUCUGGAUAUAUUUUGAAGGUAUAAGCAACAGAAUUUCCUGACAGAUUGGAUAUAGGAUACAAGAAAGAUUGCAUGUAAGAAGUAUCAGUUCUCAAUACAAGAAGCCUGAGAAGGGAUGAGCUCUCAUGAAGAGCCAGAGUGGCAUUAUACUGCAGCCUGGAACACACCCCAGGCUGGGGUCAGGAGAUGUGUGGCAUGUCGAGAAACCUUCAUAAAGAUAACAUAAUUUUUGGUUGUGAUUGAAAUUAACCUGAUCCUUUUCGGAACCAGCUUGAAAGAGUCACCUCUAGAAAACCCAAGGAAGGUGUGGUAGCCAGCCUCUAAAAUGCUCCUUUUUGGCUUUGUUUUUAUUUUUAUUUUUUUGUUUUUUUGAGAGAGAGUCUCGCUCUGUUGGCCAGGCUGGAGUACGGUGGCACAAUCUUGGCUCACUGCACCCUCCAUCUCCUGGGCUCAAGCGGUUCUGCCUCAGCCUCCCGAGUAGCGGGGAUUACAGGUGCGCGCCACCAUGCUUGGCUAAUUUUUGUACUUUUAGUAGAGAUGGGGUUUCACCAUGUUGGCCAGGCUGGUCUCGAACUCCUGACCUCAGGUGAUCUGCCCGCCUCGGCCUCCCAAAGUGCUGGGAUUACAGGCGUGAACCAACAUACCUGGCCAAUGCUCCCGUAUUAUUAAUACCACCUCCUGGUAUUCACUGCCUUGUGUAAUCUUCUCCCUUGUUGUGGGCUAGACCUAUUGACUUGCUUCUAAUAGGAUAUGGCCACAAAAAGAAUGGGAUGUUAUCCCCAAAAUCACAUAAUGAGGAGAUCGUGACCUCCCAGCUCCUGUAUCCCUUCCUCUGGCUGUAACAAGCUGCUAUUUCAGCUUUAUCUCAUAGCUCCACCACCCUAAGUUCCAGCCAUAUUGUAUUACUCACUUUCCCAAACAGAGUUUCAGCUAAACUGAUCAAGAUGUUACCAUUUUAAGACGUUUAAGAAAGAAAUUUGAUCAAACAAAAUAAGUAGACUAAAAUAGAUAAAAGCCUUUAGACUAUCUAGAAAUUCCCUGGCUGUUUUAAACAAAUUCAAGUGUGAAACUGAGGAGUACUUGGCCAAAAUAUGGUUACAAACAACCCCUGGGCAGAGUAUCAUUUUCCAGAUGGGACACCUGUCUUGUAAAAGACUGUUGAGGAUUUGGGGAAGCAAAGAACUUACCACUAUUCUGGGCUGUAACAAAGGAGAAGCUCAAUAAAGACUAAAAAAUACUGUACAAAGAGAGGACAUAGAGGAUCACUUGAGCCCAGGAGUGCUGGGCUGUAGUGGGCUGUGUUGAUCAGGUGUCUGCACCAAGUUGAGCAUCAGUAUGGUGAACUUCCAGGAACUAGAGACCACGAGGUUGCCUAAGGAGGGGUGAAUCGACCCAGGUUGGAAAUGGACCAGGUUAAAACUCCUGUGCUGAUCACUGCUAGUGGGAUUAUGCCUGUGAAUAGCCACUACCCUCCAGUUUGGGCAACAACAUGACCCCAUCUUUUUUUUUUUUUUAAAGUCCAGGCGUGGUGGCUCACACCUGUAAUCCCAGCACUUUGGGAGGCUGAGGUGGGCUGAUUGCCUGAGCUCAGGAAUUCGAGACCAGCCUGGGCAACAUGGUGAGACACCAUCUCUACUAAAAACACAAAAAUUAGCCAGGUGUGAUGGCGCAUGCCUAUGGUCCUAGUUACUCGAGAGGCUGAGGUACGAGAAUUGCUUGAACCUGGGCAGCAGAGGUUGCAAUGAGCUGGGAUCACGCCAGUGAACUCUAGCCUGGGCAAGAGAACAAGACUGCCUCAAAAAAAAAAAAUGGUUUUAGGAAAGGAUAAGACAUGGAAACAAAACCGCACAAUUGUAUAAGUAAUCAUCAAGUAUUAGAAUUAAUGAGUGAAGUUAACAAGGUCACUGGAUACAAACUUAGUUUACAAAAAAGUCCAUUUCUGUGUAUAACAAUAAAGAGGAAAUUAAACUUUUAAAGUGAUAUAUACCAUUUACCUUUGGGAAAAUAUCAAAUAUCUAGUCAUCUGAUGAAAGAUGUGUAAGACCUAUGCACAAAGCAUUACAAAACAAUAUUGAGGAAAACUUUUUUAAAGCCCUAAAUAGAGGGAAUGUCAUUUUUAUGAUUUGGAAGAUGCACAGAUUCAACAUGAUGCCAAUUAAAAUCCCAGCAGGAUUUGUGAGUGCGUUUGCAUCUGUGUUGUGUGUAGAAAUUGACAAGUUGAUUCUAAAAUACAUGCAAAAUGCAAAAGGCCGAAAAGAGCCAAGAGAAUUAAAGAAGAAUGAAACUGGGCAACUUUACUACCAAAUAUCAAAACCUGGCUGUUUAUUUUACUUUUUAUUUUUUUUGAAAUGGAGUUUCACUCUUGUUGGACAGGCUGGAGUGCAAUGGCAUGGUCCUGGCUCACUGCAGCCUCCGCCUCCUGGAUUCAAGCGUUUCUCCUGCCUCAGCCUCCCAAAUAGCUGGGAUUACAGGUGCCUGCCACCAU
rnacentral:lncRNA from 1 species